UACGUAGGGUGCGAGCGUUAAUCGGAAUUACUGGGCGUAAAGCGCACGUAGGUGGUUUGCUAAGUCAGCUGUGAAAUCCCCGGGCUCAACCUGGGCACUGCAGUUGAAACUGGCAAGCUAGAGUAGGGUAGAGGGGUGUGGAAUUCCAGGUGUAGCGGUGAAAUGCGUAGAUAUCUGGAGGAACAUCAGUGGCGAAGGCGACACCCUGGACUCAUACUGACACUGAGGUGCGAAAGCGUGGGGAGCAAACAGG
rnacentral:rRNA from 1 species